rnacentral:rRNA from 1 species
UACGAAGGGGGCUAGCGUUGCUCGGAAUCACUGGGCGUAAAGCGCACGUAGGCGGCUUGUUAAGUCAGGGGUGAAAUCCUGGAGCUCAACUCCAGAACUGCCUUUGAUACUGGCAAGCUUGGAGUCCGGGAGAGGUGAGUGGAACUGCGGGUGUAGAGGUGAAAUUCGUAGAUAUUCGCAAGAACACCAGUGGCGAAGGCGGCUCACUGGCCCGGUACUGACGCUGAGGUGCGAAAGCGUGGGGAGCAAACAGG